UCCUCCCUCUGGCGGCGUGUCUAAUACAUGCAAGUAGAACGCUGAAGAGAGGAGCUUGCUCUUCUUGGAUGAGUUGCGAACGGGUGAGUAACGCGUAGGUAACCUGACUUUUAGCGGGGGAUAACUAUUGGAAACUAUAGCUAAUACCGCAUAACAAUUGCUGACACAUGUCCUUUAUUUGAAAGGGGCAAUUGCUCCACUACAAGAUGGACCUGCGUUGUCUUAGCUAGUCGGUGAGGUAAUGGCUCACCUAGGCGACGAUACAUAGCCGACCUGAGAGGGUGAUGGACCACCCUGAGACUGAGACGGAGACAAGACUCAGACGGGAGCCAGCAGUAGGAAUGAGUAAGAUAGGGGGGCGAGCGUGACCGUGAAACGGCGAGUGAGUGAAGAAGGUUUCCGGAUCGUAAAGCUUGGUCGUCAGUUAAGAACGGAUGAGAGAGUGGACAGGUGACACUGUGAAGGUAGCUUAUGAGAAAGGAACGGCUAACUACGUG
rnacentral:rRNA from 1 species